AUGAGGCCGCGCUCGGGCGGGCGCCCAGGGGCCCCGGGCCGCCGCCCCCGCGGCCUCCGGUGUCCCAGCCUGCCGCCGCUGCAGCUGCUGCUCGGACUGCUGCUGGCGGCCGCGGGGCCCGGCGCGGCGCGGCGCGGCGCGGGCCAAGGAGACAGCGUUCGUUGAGGUGGUGCUGUUCGAGUCGAGCCCAAGCUGCGACUACACCACCUACACCACCGGCCUCACUGGCCGCUUCUCGAGGGCCGGGUCCACGCUCAGCGCUGAGGGCGAGAUCGUGCAGAUGCACCCACUGGGCCUAUGUAAUAACAACGACGAAGUGGACUUGCAUGAAUACGGCUGGGUAGGAGUGGUGAAGCUGGAAUAGCCAGAAUUGGACGUGAAACCGUGCCUAACUGCCCUAGGCAAGAAGACCCAUCUGGAACUUGCAUCACAAGCAGUACAGCGGGGAGCCACUGUGGUCAUCUUUGAUGUAUCUGAAAACCCAGAAGCUAUUGACCAGCUGAAACAGGACUUGGAAGACCUGCUCAAGAGGCCGGUGGUGUAUGUGAAGGGUGCAGAUGCCAUUAAGCUGAUGACCACAGUCAACAAGCAGAAAGUAGCUCGAGCAAGGAUCCAGCACCACACUCCUCGACAACCCACUUUUAACAUGGGGGUUUUCCUAGCUUUCUUCGUCAUGGUCUCCUUGGUCUGCCUCAUCCUCCUUGUCAAAAUCAAGCUGAAGCAGUGACGCAGUCAGAAUUCCAUGAACAGGCUGGCCGUGCAGGCUCUGGAGAAGAUGGAAACCAGAAAGUUCAACUCCAAGAGCAAGGGACGCCGGAGGGGAGCUGUGGGGCCCUGGACACACUCAGCAGCAGCUCCACGUCUGACUGUGCCAUCUGCCUGAAGAAGUACAUUGACGGAGAGGAGCGGCGGGUCAUCCCCUGUACUCACCGGUUUCAUAGGAAGUGCGUGGACCCCCAGCUGCUGCAGCACAACACCUGCCCCCACUGUCGGCACAACAUCAUAGAACAAAAGGGAAACCCAGACGCCGUGUGUGUGGAGACCAGCAACCUCUCACGUGGUCGGCAGCCGAGGGUGACCCUGCCGGUGCAUUACCCCGGCCGCGUGCACAGGACCAACGCCAUCCCGGCCUACCCCACGAGGACAAGCAUGGACUCCCACGGGAACCCCGUCACCUUGCUGACCGUCGACCAGCAAGGGGAGCAGAGCCUCUUUUCCCCGCAGACCUCCGCCUACGUCCGCAGCUACCCACCCCUCCAACUGGACCACAGCCUGGCUGCUCACCGCUGUGGCCUGGAGAACCCGGCCUACUCUACCCAGCCCAUCCCUUCCGCAGGCCCAAGUUGAGCAGCCGCAGCUUCUCCAAGGCAGCUUGCCUCUCCCAGUACGAGACCAUGUACCAGCACUACUACUUCCAGGGCCUCAGCUACCCGGAGCAAGAGGGGCAGCCCCUGCCUAGCCUCGCAUCCCGAGGCCCGGCACGUGCCUUUCUUCCGAGUGGCAGCGGCAGCCUGCUGCUCCCCACCGUAGUGCACGUGGCCCCGCCCUCCCACCUGGAGAGCGGUAGCACGUCCAGCUUCAGCUGCUAUCACGGCCACCGCUCGGUGUGCAGUGGCUACCUGGCCGACUGCCCGGGCAGCGACAGCAGCAGCAGUAGCAGCAGCAGCAGCAGCUCCAGUCAGUGCCACUGUUCCUCCAGUGAUUCUGUGGUAGACUGCACUGAGGUCAGCAACCAGGGCGUGUACGGGAGCUGCUCCACCUUCCGCAGCUCCCUCAGCAGCGACUAUGAUCCCUUCAUCUACCGCGCCAGUGAGGCGGGGGGCUCAGGCCGGGGGCCUGCACUGUGCUUCGAGGGUUCCCCGCCACCUGAGGAGCUCCCUGCGGUGCACAGUCACGGUGCUGGGCGGGGCGAGCCUUGGCCAGGCCCUGCCUCUCCCUCGGGGGAUCAGGUGUCCACGUGCAGCCUGGAGAUGAACUACAGCAGCAACUCCUCCCUGGAACACAGGGGGCCCAAUAGCUCUACCUCAGAAGUGGGGCUCGAGGCUUCUCCUGGGGCCGCCCAGGACAUCAGGAGGACCUGGAAGGGGGGGCCACGAGGGGCCAUCAUGUGCCUGCUGCUGCGAGCCCCAGCCCUCCCCACCCGGGCCUAGCGCCACAGCAGCUGGCAGCAGCACCUUGUUCCUGGGGCCCCACCUCUUAGAGGGCUCUGGCCCCGCGGGUGGGGAGCCCCAGCCAGGAAGCUCCCAGGGCCUGUACGGCCUUCAUCCCGACCAUUUGCCCAGGACAGACGGGGUGAAAUAUGAGGGCCUGCCCUGCUGCUUCUAUGAAGAGAAGCAGGUGCCACGUCGCGGCAGAGGGGGCAGCGGCUGCUACACUGAGGACUACUCGGUGAGUGUGCAGUACACGCUCACCAAAGAGCCCCCGCUCGGCUGCUAAGCGGGGGCCCGAGAUCUGAGCCAGCGCAUCCCCAUCAUUCCGGAGGAUGUGGACUGUGACCUGGGCCUGCCCUCGGACUGCCAACGAACCCACAGCCUCGGCUCCUGGGGUGGGACACAGGGCCCAGAUGCCCCAUGGCCCCAUAGGGGCCUGGGAGCAACCUGGGAAGAGGAGCGGGCUCUGUGCUGCCAGGCUAGGGCCCUGCUGUGGCCUGGCUACCCUCCAGAGGAGGCAGGUGCUGCCAGGGCCAGCCUCCCCAGUGCCCUCCAGGACACUCAGGAGUCCAGCACCACGGCCACUGAGGCUGCAGGACCGAGAUCUCGCUCAGCAGACAGCAGCAGCACAGAAGCCUGAGUUCAGAAGGAACUCUUAGCUGGAAAUUGGGAACUGUAUGGAAACUCCAAACUGACUUCCUUCAAAAAACAAAAACAAAAAAUUUUUUUAGCUUUGACAAACACACAAAAGUGGUAAUAAAGAGAGACCUCCUUCUCAACCCAAAAUGUGAGCCCCCUGUGGCAAAAUCACCCCCUACCCCAUUAACAAAUCAACAGACAAAAUUCUCCGAGUCCUUUGCCUCUUUUGAUAACAUGCUCUGUACUGUAAAGUAUGUGUGCUUGGGGUUCUGAGGUGUGGGAUUGAGUUCUGUUUUUUUUUUUUAAGAUGUUGUAUGUAAAUGUAAAAAGUUAUUUAAAUAUAUAUUUUAAAGAACUCUAAAAAAACGUUGAAAAGAUUUUCUCUAAGAUCUGGAUCAAGAUAAGGAUGUCCACUUUCAUCACUUUUAUUCAACUUAGUCCUAGAACUGCUAGUCAAAGUAAUUAGGCAAGAGAAAGAAAAGGCACCCAAAUUGGAAAGGAGGAAGUCAAAUUGUCCCAGUUUGCAAAUGACAUGGUAUUAUGUAUAGAAAACCCUAAUGAUUCCACCAAUAAAAAAAAAAAACUGUUAGAACCAGUAAAUCAAAUUAGUAAAGUUGCAGGAUGCAAAA